UACGGAGGAUGCGAGCGUUAUCCGGAUUUAUUGGGUUUAAAGGGUGCGUAGGCGGACUGUCAAGUCAGCGGUAAAAUUGAGAGGCUCAACCUCUUCCCGCCGUUGAAACUGGUGGUCUUGAGUGGAUGAGAAGUACGCGGAAUGCGUGGUGUAGCGGUGAAAUGCAUAGAUAUCACGCAGAACCCCGAUUGCGAAGGCAGCCUUCCGGCGCCCUACUGACGCUGAGGCACGAAAGUGCGGGGAUCGAACAGG
rnacentral:rRNA from 1 species